rnacentral:rRNA from 2 species
UACGUAGGGGGCAAGCGUUAUCCGGAUUUACUGGGUGUAAAGGGAGCGUAGACGGUAAGGCAAGUCUGAAGUGAAAGCCCAGGGCUCAACCCUGGGACUGCUUUGGAAACUGUCCUACUAGAGUGCAGGAGAGGUAAGUGGAAUUCCUAGUGUAGCGGUGAAAUGCGUAGAUAUUAGGAGGAACACCAGUGGCGAAGGCGGCUUACUGGACUGUAACUGACGUUGAGGCUCGAAAGCGUGGGGAGCAAACAGG